AGAGCUCAAAUUUAAAAUCUGGCAGCCUGAUGGGCUUGUCCGAGUUGUAAUCUAGAGAAGUGUCUUCCGCGCUGGGACCGUGUACAAGUCUCUUGGAAUGGAGCGUCAUAGAGGGUGAGAAUCCCGUCUCUGACACGGAAUUUACCGGUGCUUUUGUGAUGCGCUCUCGAAGAGUCGAGUUGUUUGGGAAUGCAGCUCAAAAUGGGUGGUAAAUUCCAUCUAAAGCUAAAUACAGGCGAGAGACCGAUAGCGAA
rnacentral:rRNA from 1 species